rnacentral:rRNA from 1 species
GGCCUUACCUGCCCAGUGACUACAAGUUAAACGGCCGCGGUAUUUUGACCGUGCAAAGGUAGCGCAAUCACUUGUCUUUUAAAUGAAGACCUGUAUGAAUGGUUAAACGAGGGCUUAACUGUCUCCCCCUUCAAGUCAAUGAAAUUGAUCUAUCCGUGCAGAAGCGGGUAUAAAAAUACAAGACGAGAAGACCCUUUGGAGCUUAAGAUACAAGAUCAACUAUGUCAAGAGAAUUAAAUAUAUCUAAACCAAAUAGAAUAUUUGAUCCCUAUCUUCGGUUGGGGCGACCACGGGAGAAAACAAAGCUCCCACGCGGACUGGGGAAACUUCCCUAAAACUAAGAGAGACAUCUCUAAGUCACAGAACAUCUGACCAAAAGAUCCGGCCACAAUGCCGAUCAACGAACCAAGUUACCCUAGGGAUAACAGCGCAAUCCCCUUUAAGAGUUCAUAUCGACAAGAGGGUUUACGACCUCGAUGUUGGAUCAGGACAUCCUAAUGGU